UUAGGCUAGAUCCGUUGUAAAGAUAACUCCGAGAGCUUUCAUCAAGUACCCAUGAACUUAAAACAAGGCCCGUAUGCACACUUAAUGGCCGUUUGAAUAUAGCACUUAUCUGAUAGCCGAAUUGGAUAUCAGAACAUGACCAACUUGAUCUUGAUAUCUUCCUGUUCAAUUCUGAUGCAAGGAACUGUUGUAUCGAGAGUAUCAAUGGUCAUACUAAUUCUGGUCAGUACAUGGCGGCCGUCUCCAUCACGCUAGUCUGGAGAUUCUCAAAUACAAAAAGUAAUGACACCUGGACAGAGUUGAGCACCUCAAGAUGAAACUAAACUACAGUAACAACAAAUGUAAUUUUUCUCCCAACUUGGCAAAGGGAACAUAGGCCACAACAUUAGGAAACAGUUCUAACUGUAACCAGGGAAGCAUAUUCCUACAAAACAUUAUAUACAGAGUCGUCACUGCUAGAUCAAAACUUACUAGAACUAUCUAGAGUAUGCUUUGGCCAUAUGUCAGGAAGAAUUUACCAGAGUAUGCCAAACUGGAGAUGCAACUAGGGAACUAGCUACCGAGGUAAUCAGAAACAUGAUAAUCAUAUAAACUGAAUUCCUUGUGCCUCCCAGUCUUAAUGGGCUUUGUACACUGGGAUGAGUUAAUGAUUCUAAAUAGAGUGAAGUGCACCAGUGGUCCCUAAACUUGUGUGCAUAUGUUAUCUAGGUCCCUGAACUAUCAAAAUAUAUUUUUGGGUCUCCGAACUUGUCUGAAGGUGUCAUAUAGGUCCAAUCGGGCUCCGAC
rnacentral:lncRNA from 1 species